rnacentral:rRNA from 1 species
CAAUGUGCGUUCAAAGAUUCUCAUGAUUCACUGAAUUCUGCAAUUCACAUUACUUAUCGCAUUUUGCUGCGUUCUUCAUCGAUGCCAGAACCAAGAGAUCCGUUGUU